AACGAACGCUGGCGGCAGGCUUAACACAUGCAAGUCGAGCGCAUCCUUCGGGGUGAGCGGCGGACGGGUGAGUAACGCGUGGGAACGUGCCCUCUUCUACGGAAUAGCCUCGGGAAACUGAGAGUAAUGCCGUAUACGCCCGCAAGGGGAAAGAUUUAUCGGAGGAGGAUCGGCCCGCGUUGGAUUAGGUAGUUGGUGGGGUAACGGCCUACCAAGCCGACGAUCCAUAGCUGGUUUGAGAGGAUGAUCAGCCACACUGGGACUGAGACACGGCCCAGACUCCUACGGGAGGCAGCAGUGGGGAAUCUCGGAAAAUGGGGGCAACCCUGAUCCAGCCAUGCCGCGUGAUCGAUGAAGGCCUUAGGGUUGUAAAGAUCUUUCAGCUGGGAAGAUAAUGACGGUACCAGCAGAAGAAGCCCCGGCUAACUCCGUG
rnacentral:rRNA from 1 species